ACCCCCCUUGUUGCAGCGUACAUGUAUUAAUACGCUUCAACAACCAAUCGGUCAACGCGGGUCAAACCAUUUAAAGGGUUGUUGCAGCGUACAAUUUAAUUGUUCCCUGCAAAAAAGUUUAUUGCAGCGUACAUUUUAAAAGCCCCCUGCUAUAACUUUUUGUUGCAGCGUACAAUUUAAAAGCCCCCUGCAAUAGCCGGGUAAAAAAUUGCUCCCUAAGUGAUUCAGAAUACAAAUUUUCAUUUCUCGCGCUCAACUCCCUCUUCUUCCCUUACCUUUCCCUGCGUCGUCCCUUAAAAAAAAACCUAAGACGCAUCUCAAAAUUUCAGUUCUCGUUGUUCGCGUCCCGUUCUCCUCUCCUCACUUCGAACACUCUUUCUCUUCGUUCCUCUGCAUCGCCGGCCACCACCUCCUUCAUGUCGCCGCUGCUGGUGUGGUGGUUGCGAUGGUUAUUGCGUUGUUGUGGUUGAUGGUGUUGUCCCGCCUCCGUGCUCGCCUUUCCUCUGUUUGUCGCCGCCAAUAAUGGUGGCCACCAACACAACAUCAUUUGCAAUCCAUCACUAAUUGUUGUUGGGUGCGACGGCGCUCUGUCGUCGCCGCCGCCUCCUUGUUCGUUGUUGUGAAUGCUAAUUAUGGUCUUGCUCUCCCCUUCCCUCUCCUCCAUUGUUGCUGCUCGUUUCUAGCCCAAGUUUCAUUGUCUCCUUCCCAAACAAUCCUCCUGAUCCAAAAAAGGAUAGUGCCGCAGUUCAGAAAUUCUUUGCCAAUAUGGAAGUCGCAUUCAGGGCGCAUCCACUUUGGAGCUGUUGUUCAGAAGAGGAGCUUAAAAGUGCUGGUGAAUUGCAGGGAGUGGAGACGUUUUUCACUGUAAUUCGGGCUUGUUGCGGGGUCGGAAUUAUUGGGUUUACCUUAUGGUAAUUUUCUUGAUGCUAGGUCUUCAAAGAAACCUGCAUUUUAGCAUCGUCUUUCUAGAGAACGGCAAAUUCAUUGGCAAUCGUCGUCGACUUCUCCGGUGAGGAUCACGUGCCACUGAUUACAGUUGAUGCUGCUCUUCUGCUACACUUUCUCAUAUUCUUUUUAGCAGUCUGUCUUGUGCUAUACAGUGCAGUAACAAUGAUGCUUGGAAAGCUGAAGUUUUCUUUACUCAGCCCUGUUGCUGACUGAUCUGCUCCUACUGACUGAUCUUCUGCUACGCUGCUGCUGCACUAGUGCAAUGUUGCUGCUGAUUGAUCUGUUGUUACGCUGUUGCUGCUGCACUAGUGCAAUGUUGCUGCUGCUGGAUUAUUGUUGUUGCUGCUGCUUGAUUUAUGUUGUUGAUGUAGCUUGAUUAUUGUUGUUGCUGAUGCUUGAUUAUUGUUGUUGCUGCUGCUUGAUUAUUGUUUUUUUUGUUUCUGGUUGCUGCACUUGUGUGAAUGUUCUAACCGCCACAUUUUGUAUGUUUUACUUGAUUCAGGAACUCCCUAGGUACCAUGAAUAAUAACCAAAAUUUGUUGGGCAUGAAUCAGAAUGUGGCAGUGAUCGAGUUAUUACUCCCGCAACAGGUCACGAAUCAUAAGGUCUACACUCCGAGGAUUGCGCCUUAUGCGAGGAAUUUGAUGUGGUUUGUGAGCAAUGGGCUAAGUUUUUUACCAACAAGUAUUUAUUAUUGGCUUUAGCGCGCUUGAUCGAGUUGGUUUAGUUGUUAUAGAAUAAAUUUUAUAUUAAAAUGUAUGUUUAUGUUGAAAUUGGAACAUAUAUUUAAAUGUAAUAUGUGCACUUUGGUUUUGGGAUAUAUAGUAUACAAAACUCCAGUUGUUGUUUUUA